AUUGAACGCUGGCGGCAUGCCUUACACAUGCAAGUCGAACGGUAACAGGUUAAGCUGACGAGUGGCGAACGGGUGAGUAAUAUAUCGGAACGUGCCCAGUCGUGGGGGAUAACGUAGCGAAAGCUACGCUAAUACCGCAUACGAUCUACGGAUGAAAGCGGGGGAUCGCAAGACCUCGCGCGAUUGGAGCGGCCGAUAUCAGAUUAGGUUGUUGGUGAGGUAAAAGCUCACCAAGCCUGCGAUCUGUAGCUGGUCUGAGAGGACGACCAGCCACACAGGAACUGAGACACGGUCCAGAGUGCUACGGGAGGCAGCAGUGGGGAAUUUUGGACAAUGGACGCAAGUCUGAUCAAGCAAUGCCGCGUGCAGGACGAAGGCCUUCGGGUUGUAAACUGCUUUUGUACGGAACGAAACGGUGAGCUCUAAUACAGUUUGCUAAUGACGGUAACGUAAGAAUAAGCACCGGCUAACUACGUGCCAGCCGCCGCCGUAA
rnacentral:rRNA from 1 species